UACAGAGGUCCCGCGCGUUGUUCGGAUUCACUGGGCGUAAAGGGUGCGUAGGUGGUGAGGUAAGUCGGAUGUGAAAUCUCCGGGCUCAACCCGGAAAUGGCAUUGGAAACUACCUUGCUGGAGGGUUUGAGGGGGGAUUGGAAUACUUGGUGUAGCAGUGAAAUGCGUAGAUAUCAAGUGGAACACCAGUGGCGAAGGCGAAUCCCUGGAAAAUACCUGACACUGAGGCACGAAAGCUAGGGGAGCAAACAGG
rnacentral:rRNA from 1 species